rnacentral:tRNA from 2 species
GCCUCGGUGGCUCAGCCCGGCAGAGCGACUGACUUGUAAUCAGUUGGUCGAGGGUUCAAAUCCCUCCCGGGGCU